AGAGCUGCAUUAAUGUCUUCAGCCCCAAGUUAAUGCAGGCUUUGUUUUUUUUCUUGGAGUGGGGAUGGGUUGCAUUAAACCAUUCACAUCUUCUCACCCAGGGCCCAUCCACAUUCCCUCCCCCUGGUCCUCUUAUGACCAACAGCAACAUUUGUGAGACGCCUGCCUGACCUGGCCCCUUAUGACUAACAGAGCACAUUUGUGAGAUGGCUGUGAGACCCGGCCCUCUUGUCCCCACCUGCACACACCUGUAAGGCAGCCAGCUGCCUGAGACUAUGGGGGAGAGCUCUUUGGGGCCCAAACUGCUAACCUCUGGCUCAUCUAACUAGCCCAACACAGAGUGAAUGCUGGGUGCAGGGGAGCUUGACAGAACCUAGGAAGAGUUGAAGGCUGAAGGGGCAUCCCUGCCAGUAUGUGCUGAGACACCGUGGCCAGCUGUUGUGAAGUUCUGGAACAGAGAAUACAUUGUUCAAGAUGCUGAAGCCAGUGAUUUCUACUUAUUGCAAGAGUACAUUGGAUAUCAGUGCCUUCUAAAUUUUAAUGACCUGGGCCAAAGCCCUGGUUGCCCCACCUUGGAGCCCAACAUAACAGAGGUUCACAGAGAAGAGAUUCAUGGGAGAAACAGUGUUAUAGAGGGAAGAAAACUGGGCCAGGAAUCGGGAGACUCGAGAUCUCUUCCUGGCUCUGCCACUCACCAGUUAGGUGAUCUUGGGAUGGUCUUUUUUUAUGUCUCCGGCUCUCAUUCAGUUCAUGAUUCUGUCAAAGGAGAUCUUAAAGACUUCUUCUAGUUCUAAAACGUUUAUUGCACAAAGAGGAAACAGAUUGACUUGUGUUUUAAGAGGUGGGGAGGGAGUCAGACCAGAAACGGAGUUUGUAGGCUCUGAAAUCAGAAUGUCAGCGCUGGAAGGAGCCUUGGGGACGGUGUAGCCCAGGCGUGUGCUGGAGGCAGCCUGGACCAGCUCAAAAGGGCCCAUUGUAAAAUUUUCAGCCUAUCUCAUUAUACCUCAGAAAUCCACAACUGCUACAAACCAGGGCCUGAUUUAUUGCUUGGUUGAUUGUUUAGACUUUAAAAAGUUUCAGUGAUGCCGAUUCAA